CACGACCAGCUCACCACUGUUUGCUACCAUUUCUGUUCAUGUCAUUCUGGUUGAAUAAGAGAUAGCACUGAAUUACAAAAAAGACAAUACUGGAUGUUUGCACUCAGCCAUACUGAGGUUAUGGUCUGGGGAAGCUGAUUAAAUACCAUGGGAGCUUCUUUCCAGCCAGCUUAAUCAGGCAUACAGUAUGUGGGUGAACACUAUCCCAUGGUGUUCACACCCGCCUAUACUAAAGAAUGAAAUUAGCCGCACAUCCCACAUCCCGAAGUCUUUUCUCUGCAGUUUCUGUGCAUUUUCUUUGCCACACAAAGUAAUUGCAUUUGUUAUCUAUUAUUAUCUAUUAGGUUGUACUUUGUGUUAUUUAGAGAAGUGCAGGCACCAGACACCUAAAGCUAUAAGAAGAGUCCACCAAAUGAAUGCGUCAAUGCCUGCACCUACAGUACCUAUCAGUACUGAAAAUCCAAUUCCCAGGUGGAACUGUGGGAAGGUAGGAGGAAAUGUGUGGAUCUUAAAAUACAUCUUUUGUUGCGUAAAAAAAAAAAAAAAGUACACUGAGCGAAUGUGAAUGGAUCACUCAUUGUAUGUGACCUAUUUGUGUUUUGUUACUUCACUUAGAGAUAAUUUCAUGUUUCCUUGUACCUUAAAAACCUUAAAAACAGAAUAUAUUAUAUAUAUAUCAUUUGCUCUGGACUUUUUGUCCAGAGCAAAUGAUGCAGUUGCAUACAGCACAUUCCUUUUUGAAUGUGCUGACUGCAGGGGUCAAAUUUUGCAACUUACUCUAAACACCUCACUAGUGCUGACUUAAGACAGCUAAGAUCUGAUCAAACCUUUAAAUGCAUAGCAACAAUCUAUGCACACUGACAGUAGAGACACGGGUGUUAAAAACGUGCGACAUAGGCGUCGCGCUGGUGAUGACAAUUUCACAGAUGUGGCAUUUUCAUGAAAUGAUGGAACAUGGGCAUAUACAUCUGCCUGUACAUGUAAUCUCAAGCCUCAAUAGCUGCACACAAGAAAAAAGACAUUACAGGCAGAAAAAGACACAGUCUACAUGCAUUUAUCUUACUGAGAUGCACACAAGGACUUUUGCAUGUUCGAAAGAUGUUUCGUGCUUUUGAGUCUUACCUCAUUUACUUUGCUCUAUAUGUUCAGAUCUAUUACAAAAUAAAAUGUCUGUAAUAAUACAGGUUACACUGGUGAAGAUUGUCUGUAACAGGUGAAAUUAUGAGGUCCGAGAGUUUGCUACUGAAUGUAUCUGCAUCUUACAUAAAAAGAUUAGCAGGAGUUAAAUUUUGUUUAACUGACUUUAUUUUAUACUUGCUGCUUUAUAAAGCAGUUCCAUCACAAUGCUUUGUGCACCCUGUGAUAACUUGAAUCAAAAAGGCUGAAGAGAGAAACCUUAUAGACUAUUGGUGUCCUUUUUUUCCUUUUUUUUUUCCUUUUUUCUCCACUCUAUGUAACUAUGGACCAUGUGAAUUUCUCUUGAAAUGAUACAUUUAGCCAAACAAAAAGUUAAUAAUUGCUUUUUAGUAUUUGCACCAGCAUAAUUUCUCUUUCUCAGUGGUCCUUAGGACCAGUAUUGAAGAGCUGCAAAGCUUAGCUUUCAGGUACUUCUUCUAUUCUGAAGUGGAGCUCUUUGCUGCUGACAGUUCUUGUCCUUUUCAGCCACGAAAUCAAAGUAACUCAAAAACUUCGAAAACUUCAAGGAUUCCCUCUGUGCCAUUUCACCAGAUGAGCUAUGCACAUGCCCACAAACAACUGUAGUAUGGAAUGCUUUCCUCCAAGAAAUAGAUAUGAAGCAAACAAACCACAAAUGCUUGAGUGAUUUUAUUUUUUGUUUCAUGUUUUGUGGCAACAGCCCGAACAGUGAGAAUGUGAUAUCACCUUAACAGUAGCAAACUGCUUAUUUUAGAAAGUAACUAUAUGGCUACAUGCCUGGUGAAAAUCAGGAUUAUUUAGUAAAAUAAAAAAAAUCUGUGGACUCUGAUGAUGGUUUACGAUGCAUUUGCCCACAGAAUUCAUUUUUUUCAGGAUAAGAUAAUUAAUUUUGUCAUAAUAACCACUUUUGAAGGUUAACCACUUCUAAAAGGCCAAUUCCCCAAUUAUUACAAGCUUCUCCUCUGCUUUUCAGUUCCUACAUUAAUGAGAUCACCACAGUUUUUCUGCAAAACUUAGACCUUUAACUUGCACUUACUCACAUUACCACAAGAGGUUGCCUAUGUAAACAGCAAUAGUUUUUAAUCCCCCUUAAAAACAUGUGACUCCCCAUGAAAAACUGAGGAUUCUUUCUGUCUCAAUAUGAAGAGAGAUAUUGCUUUUAAUCUUCGGUCUGUAUUCUUAUUGUUAAACUAUAUUAUAUGUAAAGCAGUCAUGAAUUUUAUCACAGCUUACCUUGUAUUCCUAUAUGAACAGCUGUGAUUGACAAUUCACCAGCACAACAGGUACUAUACAGCAAUAUCAGAAAGUGAUAAAAUACAUAUGAUGUAUCGGAUUCUUUUUUUAUGUCACAGCUGUUGUUGUGUCCUCCCCCAUAUACCAAAACGUAUACUGUGGCGGUGUUUACCUACUUUUAACCAAUCAGAACCACACCACAAAUGUACUGGCACAGCAGCUCUGCAUGGAGGGGGGGUUCACUAAAGAUGCCACACUGUGCACGUCCAUUGAUGCUUUAGAAAAAGCUCGAAAGCCACAGCUGAUCCUCUCUCAUUUCAGUGCACUCAGCACAUUGGGCCCAUAAUGCCUUGAGUGCUUGCCUGAGCUACAUGACAUCACUCAGUGUAGCUGCUCUCCAAUUCUUAGUUUCUCUUCUGAUAUCCAGGGCAACAAGAAUAGAAUAACUGAAAAAGAAAAAGGGGUCUUGGCAAGGGGAGGCAAAACAAGAAAAAGCUUGCCCCGGGCAUAGCACACCAGAAAGCUCUCUGUGGUACACACUAAUCUGACCACCCACUAGUGGUGACCCAUGUAUUCCCUGCGUGAGCAUCAUACUCUAGCGCAAGCCCACCCCUCCAUCACUGUCACAUGCUGCACUAAUGAGUGCCAGGAGGCAUGAGGUCAAUGACUAAGCUGAUUUGCCUACUGAUAAGUGAUUGCCAGGAGGUACAGCAGUGGAGAAACUGAAAAAAAGUGUUCCUGCAUUUGUAAGGAUGAGUUUGACUCCCUUCUCCUAAAAACAUAUUGCUGAAAACCGGGAACAAGGCAAGCAAUUUUAGUAAGACAUUACCCCAAAAAAACGUUUAGUAGGACUUUCAGAGAACUAAACCAACCAAUAAACCAAAUCGGAGGUAAUAAUACAUAUUCAUUAUUUAGAAAGGAGGAUGAUCAGUGGUGCAAUCAUAAACUAGAAUUUGGUGCAUUUAGGAUCCAUUUUUUUAGCGUUCCCUGUACAUGUGUCUUCUAAGCUAUUUCAGAUUUAAAUUGCCCCUUAGUGAUUUUUAGCAUGCCAUUCACAUAGGUACGUGAUAACAGCCCCUCAAACUCAUUUACAUGUGAUUAUGCAGCUGUUACUGUAGAAAAGAAAGUAUAGCAGUAAUUGUCUGACUUUUUUAGCAAGCAAUUACAUAGCAAUUUGCUCUCUGUAAUCUGAGAUGCUAUAGUGUGCACUGUGUGGCAGCAUUAAUUAAAGACAGAGAGGUGUAUUUCUUGAUACUCCUGAUCCUUUGUUUACAUCUCACUACCAAAUUAACUUAUGUUUUCCACCCCUAUAUAAAACGAAACAUUCUUAAUGGACAUCGAAAUGGCUUCUACAUUUCCUUUUCUAAUACACGUACAAGGCAAAAAAACAAAAAACACCAUUGCAGUAAUUACUAUACAGCUUGUAGAUGACAAGGUUGUUUUUUUUUUCCUCGUCAUGUUCUAUGGAUAGAUCAUUAUUUUUCCAGGUUAUCUCUCACUCGCUCCACUAAAAGCAACAUCAAGAUCAAGAUGAUUUUAAUCUUGAAAAAAUGAGGCUCAAACUCAAAAGAAAGAUGAAGCCUGGAGCAUUUACAAUUUCAGGCAUCAGGUAGGGUUAACUUUGCAGUCUACUUGCAGAGGAUCAGAGAAACACUUGAUGUCUUUAUUUUGGCGAGACAUUCGAUAUUGGCAGUUCUCAAGGAGACUGACAGUAGCUGUAAUCGAUCAGGUCAUCUGGUGUCAUGGCGAGACAGCCGCAUCUAGAGGUGGGUUGUCCGUCAUGGCAGCCAUCCCAGGCCACAGGACUAACUGCAUCGGUAACAGUGCAGAUGUGCAUAAAUGAAAAGGUUGUUUAAAUUAGUUGCUGCCUCCUUUUUGUUUAUUCACUUUCAGACACCUAGUGCCAUUAGACAAAGGCAUCAGGUACACGCCACAGAGUCGAUUUUUGGGCUCCCACACGAAGUAUUUUUUUUACGUUUGGCAGUUUACUCAUAUGAAGCUUUUAUCAGAAUGGGUGCAGGCUACUUCACAGAGACCUCGUGUUUUGGUUUUCUAUUUUUUUUAACUUACCAUUACGUAGUUUUAUAGCUUCGGUUUGGGGUUUUAUUAAAGCGCUUUCUCGGUAAGACCUUGUAAAUAAAUAAAAAAGGAAAACAAAAAUCCUCUAUCUUAUGAAGCUUCACAGAGCAGAGAGAUUCUGUAUAACUACACAAUAGUGUGAUUUUGCAUUAUUGUAUCUUUUUGGAGGGGGGGCAAAUGAUUUAUUCUUGCAGGAGGACGGAGGCAACAUAUGCUGUCACAGGUGUUGUUUGUUGUGAACCUACCCGAGAGCAAGUCUAUAAAACUAAAUCCAUCAAAUUUACACCCGAUUUUGUUCCCAUUGAGCAAAUACACAUUCAAACAUCUCAUAGCUGCUGGUUACUUGAAAAAGUAACAACCAAUAGUAAAAACAUUUGUUUUCAUGCUGCUUUUUUUCUCCUCUGCCACAUUGGAAUACCCUUAAAAUGCAGUAUUGCUAGAAUAUAAUUGCAAUCACCUAAACUUUUUCUUUGAUUUUUAUGUUGAAUAAUAACAAGUCACCACAAUGUUUAGCUUUUAGGAACCAAUUCAACAUUUAGGCACGUAGACACGGUCAAGAUGACCUGCUGAGUGACUUUGUCAGUGUCAGACAAGCUGGUCUGAUUAUUUCAAAAACUUCAAAUAUACUGCAAUUUUCCAAUACAACAUUCUCUAGGGUUUAUACAGAAUGGUCUGGAAAAAAGCACAUAGGGACUGAGUGGCAGUUCUCUGGGCGAAAGUGCUGUAUUGUUGUUGGGCGUGAGAGAAGAAUCGGUAGAGCAGCUUUGAGCUAAUAGGAGGGCAGCACUCAAAUAACCACUUGUUACAAAACAGUUAUGCAAAAGAGCAUCUCAACAACAAUACAUCGAACGUUAAAGCUCAGGAGACCCCGUCAGCUAAGAACAGGAAAGUGAGGUUAAAAUUGGAACCAAAGGCUUGCCAAAAUUGUAGAAUAGAAAAUUGAAAAACUGCUGCGUGGUCUGAUAAUUCCCAAUAUUUACAGCAUCAUUCAGACAGUAGAGUCACAAUUUGGUAGAAACAGCAUAAGCAUGGAUCUAUCUUGCCCUGUACCACUUGUUCAAGUUGGUGGUGGUGAUGUAAUGGUGUGGAGGAUAUUUUCUUGGCAUGCUUUGGGCCCCUCAGUACCCACUGAGCAUGGUUUAAAUGCCACUGCCUGCCUAUUGCUGCUGACCAUGUCUCUUUAUGACCAGUGUACUCAUCUUCCACUGGGGGAUUCGAGCAGGAUAAUGGACCAUGUCAAAGCUCAGAUCAUCUCAAACUGUGUUUGAACUUGACAAUGAGUUUGCUUUACUCAGAGGGCUUCCACAGUAACCAGGUCUCAAUCCAGUAGAGCACCUUUGGGAAGUGGUGAAACGGGAGAUCGGCAUCAUGGAUGUGCUGCUGACAAAUCUGCAGCAACUGCAUGAAACAAUCAUGUCAACGUGACCUCUGCAGAAUGUUUCCACAAUCUCAGCUCAGGGCUGAGAUUGCUCAGGGACAGCUAAAUAAAUGCAUAACAUAAAUACUGGAAUUAAUUUCUUCAGUAACAUAGUUGAUCUCUUACUUUUCAAAUAUAUACACUUAAACACGUUCAUACAAUAUUUAUGUUUUCACAAAUAUUAUCCACUAUGUAUUGUGGAUAAUAUUGUCCUUUCUGAUAGUCACCAUGUGCUUCCUUGCUCUAAUGCUGAAAGGAGAAAAAAGGGAGUGUGCUGACAUUUUAGAGUGAGUGAUCCACAACAAAUGUCCAUUAAUAGUGUGUUGCAUUUCAUGGAUUUCUGUUGUAUCCUCGAAGCUCAACACAGGUCAUCUGCACCAUGCCAGGAAAGGUGAUGCUUCACCAGCCUGCACAAAUCAGUUUGCUAUUUCACUCUGCAUUACAGGUGCUAUUUAAAAUGGUUUUCAGUUCAUAGGUUCUUUCCGCAUGAAAAAUACAGAUAAUACUUCCACUAUAAUUAAACAACAAACACAUAAUCAAAGUCUCAUAUUGCCAUGAUGUUGUGCAGGACUCUGUCUGCAGUGUUUGGUAAUCAGUGUUAAGAACUGGAGCACUGGGAGUCUUGUUUCAUAAAAGAUAUGAAACAAAAUGUUACUAUUUUCCUUCUGUCCCUAAAGAAAAGGACAGUUAAUGAGGAGAUGACCUUCGGAAUUGAGUGACUGGCCAAAUCACUAUAACUUGCACAAUGUACUUCUUAAACAAUUUCAGAGCAACAAAAAGCACCAUCUCGGGGCUGAAAUCUCUCCAAAUGGUGGUCCUACAUCAUACCCACCCUUUUAGAACAGGCAGCUACACAAAACAACCAGUGGCAACGUUCAUGAUGUACUUCCCAUGUGUAUUGUGUAUUCAGGUCUUUUAAGGUUUUCAAGCCUUAUGGGCAAACUUUUGAUGAACCCUAUUUUUAGCAUAUAUUGCUUAGAGUUCUAGAAAUCUGCAUCACAAAUGAUCAGCUGUUUGAUAAUGCAUAAUGCACACAGAUCUAGGGGUGACACCUGGAGUUACUUACGUAGCAUUACCUAGAAGAUUAAUUAAUUCAUAUAUUUUCUUAUUGAUUUCGGUCAUUUUUAGUUAUUUAAGUCAUUUCAUAAGCUUUGCUGGAUGCAUUUGUUUUCUAUAAACUGUCUUUUGGGGUUUGGCAUAUUUAAAGGAAGAUUAUUUUGACAACUUUAUCUUUAUUUUCAGAGAGGUAGCAGAUAAAAUCAAUUAAGAUAAUUAUGAACCAACUUAGAUAAUAACCAAUAAUUAAUAUAAUAAUUACUUUUAUCAGUACAGUAUGAGGAAAAGCACAAGAUAAACAUGUUUUUUUUUCUAUGAUUUCUAAGAAUUAGUGGGCAUAUAGUCAUUUAUGCUAAUGGACAUCUCACUUAUUUAAAUAGCUAGAUAUUUGGAUGUAUGUCAAGGCUAUUUCAAUCAUAUCAGCUUGUUGACAUUUAACGAUGGCCUUGAAUGGGUGUGAAAGAGGCAAUAUUUUUUUUCUCAGUUUUUUGAUCACCCUAAGUAACUGCUUGUAGCACUUAUAUCACAACCCCCUGCUGAGUCCUCACCCUGAGCCACUGCAAAGACCAUAAAAGCCUCCCUUAUAGAUUAUACUUAAUUUGUAGUGAUUUUCCUCUGGGAGAGUGGGAUUCACAGAUGAUAUUUCUCCCAAUAAAUCACGACAGUAAGAAUAAUGUUGGCAUUUUUUGAAUAGGAAGAAAUAGUAUUCCCUCUCAUAUUCAGGCAAAAUAAUGAAUAAUGCAAGACCUAACACCUCAGCCAUUCUCCUGGAAAACUUUGGUUCUUAGAAAAUUAUUAAUCUUUUUGGUUUUAAUUGAAAACAUCAAUAAUGUCCAAUUGAAAAUUGUAAUUGUUAACACGUUUUAGAGAGAGAAGAUAAAAUGAACCUUCAGGUGGCAGCUUUUGAGGCUGCUCCCAGUUAUCUUGGUGUGUGAAAAGAAUUCUUAUAUUCUCUACCUUCAUGCAUACAAAUAGAAGCAACACAGGACAUUAUCCUGCCAAAGGUCCAGAAAUACUAAUUACCUGCUGUUUACUGGGCUUUAUAUACCCCACCUUUCUUGGGGAAAUCAAUAAUUACACACAAAGGCCGAGGGAAUGAAUUCACCCUGAUAACCAUUAGCAUGAAACUGGAUGAAGUUCAUUAGCGAUUCUGUGGGCAUGGUGUGUAAUAUCCAAUAUCGGAGACAACCAACUCUGUUAUGCCUUUGUCUUUUGUUCUCAUCCUUUGAAGAAGGUACACAAGUUGGUAUUCUGUGACAAUUCAUUACAGCCUUACACAAUACGCAGUCUAAUAUAUUGCUUCAUAAUAGCACGGUGAGCUAUUUUUGAUACAUCUUUAUGCCUACUAAAGGCAUAAAGAUGUAUCAAAAAUCUCAAACAUUUCUUAUUUCCAAAUGUCAAACAAUGAAUUUUUUGUGAACUAAAAUGCUACGAUCAUUUUCAUGUGCCAGAUUCUACCAACUUGGGGAUAACUGCCAAUGUAGAGGUGAUAAGUGGAGGAUAGUAUAAUCAUAAAGGGGGGAUCACAGUGUAAGGUGAAACCGGUGAUUGUGGUACCUCGUAAUUAUCCUGGCAGUUUGCAUACAUCUAUAUCAUUGUUCCAUUACUGUGUGACAAGUGCCAAGACCACAAUUACUACAUUUUUAUUGUCAGAAUGUCUUCUAAUGCCAUCAAAUGCAUUCAGUUAAUGCAGUCUUUCAAAGGGAUUUACCAACAAGCACAUUUACAUUUGGGAAGGAAACUGAUCAAAAUGCAUAUGCCCUUAAAUGCUAAAUGAUUUAAUAAUAGUGUAAUAAAUGUAGCGUCAUUAUUUUCAUGAUUUGGGCAUCUGAAUCAUUUAAAUGAGUUCAACUGGAUUUUUUUUUAACAAGUUUUUUACACUGUGUAGAUUUUACGUAUGAGCAUCUUAUUGUGUCGCGCAUACCCACUCUUAUCUUUCAGUGCACUCUAACAUGACACUGCAUGACUGGUUCCCUAUGGCAGUGCACACGACAGCCCCUUUCAAACUGAGAUGGACGUCACAAAGGGACCGUGCGGGCAGAAAAUUAAUAAAUAAAGAGAUGUUAAAAAUUAACCUCUGCUUUUCCCUCCAUUGACCAAGUGCCUCAAACCACCAUGAAUGCUUUCAAUAAGAGAAGCAGACCUGCAUUCAGAAUCAGCAUUAAGCCUCACUGAAUUUGACUUAACUGCAAUGAUACUGAACAUGGGUGAAUACGUCACAACAGAUUUGUGAAAUUUUCUUGUUUCUGGUCAGAAGAAAGCUCAUUUUCCCUUCAGCACACUUCAUCUGUAUGUACCACAUUUUCACAGUCUGGGGAAUGAACCUCAAUUUGUACCCUGUAUAACCCACUGCAGUCUUUUAAUUAGUUUGUGGAGGCACAUUUACAUUUCCUGAAUAUUUAUAUUGAAUUGCAUCCUAUUAAAUCUUGUCAAAAUAUCUCAUCAAUUAGAAUAAUUAUAUGCACACACUGCUCAUUAAAGAGAGUAACUGUAAGGCAUAACUAAAACACAGUGCAAACACAGUCAAAACACUAGAAAAUAACAUUGCAACACUUUUAACGACACCGGCAGCAUUGCUCGUGGAAUCUGUUGGCAGGUCUGCCACAGUGGUAAAAAUCGGGGCCACCCCUGGACAGAUGCUGUGUACACAGUUAAAGUGAAUUUCUCUAUAGUGAAGACAUUAUAAGAAAGAGACAUAUGUCCUUAACUGUAUUCUUUAUAACAGCAGGAUUGUCCAAUCAGUAAGUUGGUGUGUUGAUGCAUAACCAUGCAUAGUGGAACUACUGACAGGUCUUGAUAUAAUUGGCCAGAGGUGUUACAAAGACAGGUGCUGCUUAGGCAAACACUUGCCUUGAAGGACUUCAGUAAUGCCACUACAUUGGUUUAGAGUGGUCAUGAGUAAAACAUCUCGACAACUAACGCAUGUUUUGCAAUAAAGUUGUACAUGUCUACAAAGUUCCAAAAUACAGUGAUAACUCAAAUGAUUUAUAUACAUAGUACCAAUGUAUAUCAUGUGGAUUAUAUGCAAUGUAUAUUAUAAUGAUGCAGAUGCCUGCCGUAUACUGUAAACAAUGUGUGGUGGGGCGUGGUCUGCGGUGCCGUGCAGGGAGGGCGGACGCACCUGGGUUUGGGUGUGUUGUAGUGUGGUGUGAAUAAGACAGGGCGGGACCAAAGAUCAUCAUUUAGAGCCAUUUUAUUGAUUUCACAUCACACCACAACACACCCAAACCGUGCAGGUGCGUCCGCCCUCCCUUCACGGUGCAGACCACGCCCCAUCACACAAUGGCAGCCAUUUGUAGCACAAUUUCGGAUUAAAGAAAGCAACCAGAAAGACCCGAAAAUGAUAAACUUGACAUAAGACAAAGAAAAGGAGAUAUUUUGACUCUGCAGAGUUAAUGAUUUGGAAUUUAAUUUACAGUUAAAUGAAAUUGUUCUGACAGCUGUGAUGGAGCACAGGACUCAAACUGAGGAUGGCAGCUCUAAAUUAUCUGACUGUAGUCAGGAAACUGUAAAUUUGUCUGCUACACCUCACCUGUCAGAGCUGUAUGCCAUCAAGAUUUCUUUUGUUUAGCAGACUUAAAUCACAUUUAUAAUAAAGCAGAUCAAUGUGUCACUUGUAUAAAUGGGAAAUUUACAGCUGUGUUACCAUGGAAAUGUACACAUUGGUGGUACCAGUGUUUAUCUAUUAUCAGGGGAAUUUAACCUUCAAACAGCUGAAGCUAAAUGAAUAAAUAUGUUUUGUCAAAAGCCUGAUUACAUGCAGGAACACAGGAAGACUUUACUGGUGAUGCAAACUGGACCAAAUUAUUAAUUGACACGCGAUUUUGGAUUGUAAUUCUAAGUAAAUGAGGAAGCGUUUUGUGUCCAUGUUUCUCUUUCUCUCUUAUUUAUGAAGAAAGUCCACUGAGACUUUUUUAAGGAGAACGAGAGCCGGUUGUCUAACACCAAAAACACAGGAGUUGGCAGCUCUGGCUUAACGAAAGCAUGUUAGUAUUGUCUCUGUGUUAGCAUGCAGAUGUGCAGUGCUUGCUGAUUGGUCAAAAUGCUUUGGCCAAAAAAAACCCCAAAACAUCACCCUAUGCACACGACACAUUAGCUGGAGCUAUGACAAUUCUCCAUAUUUACACAGUAAUGUGGCUGUUUGGAACAAACAGUGAUUCCCAUCACAGUCAAACACCAUGUCUGACAAGUGAGAAUAACCCGACCCUUUGUCUUCUGUGUUUGUUCUGUUUUUAUGCAGCAAAACACUUGACAGAGGAGAGAAAAGUAGAAGCGUUAUUGGUAGACAGUUGGUCUAUUGUUGUUUUCUUAUCGUGCUUUUUAUGAUUCGUCAUUUCAGAAACACCUGAGUAUAGAAUGCACCUUUUUAGUAUGCAUCUUUAAAUGCACUGGUUUGAAAUGUGAUAGCUAUUUGCAUAUUUAUCCAGUGACUCUGAUACUACGUAAUUUUCCUUUAUUGUCAGUUUCUUGUUUUCAUACCUCUUCAUUUAGGUGAACAGGUGAAUACUGAAAACCACAAUCUGUGUAAAAUGUAGAAUUUAAAAAUGUUACGUUAGGAGCGGUGAUUUUAAUUUAAAUGUUAAAGUAUUUUGAGGAGAAAAUAUAGUGUUGUAUAUAUUUUUGGCAUUCAGCUCUCAUAACACAGUAAGUCAAAAUCCUUUCAGCAACAAUACACCUGAAUGGUGCAAACUAUCCUAGGAUAAAAUAUAUAAAGGUCAAGUAGGAUACUUUGUCAAACAGUAUUAAUAAAAAAAUACAAAUUUAAAUACAAUUUAAUGAACGUUAGUGGCAAUUUGAAGAAUUCCCAUAGUACAUACAAAAACAUAUGAUUCCCCAUGAAUAUAUCACUCUUUAACAGAUGUCCAUCUUUGCCCCAAAGACUGCUUUCCCUAGUUCUAGUUCUGCUUCUAAAUUUCAAAGUGAAAAGGAUAAUUUACUGUGUGCCCGGGGAAGCCUUGCUUCAGUCUAGUAAACCUGUGUCUUUCAAGUUUUCUCUUUUGCAGUCCCUGCAGUAAAUCAAGUGAGCGCACUUCUCUUUUUCAUCUCUCCUGAGACAUAUUUUGUUUCAGUUUUCUGAAAAUCACACAGUUUAGUCAGAGUUUGAGGGUGUUGUUUACCGCAGUAGAAACACUGCUUGGGAGGAAGUCAUGAAACACAGCAUGCUUUGCAAAAUGAAUAAACAAACUACGUUUGACUUUUUUUUUCUCUUCAAUACCACAACCACAUCAUCCAAUUCGUGGUGUUUGAAUUGUGCUCAUGGUGUUAUCCUGUAAUCGCCAAAUAUAACCUCUAAGUGCGCUUGUCCGUGUCUAGUUGGAUACUUGAUGAGAGAGAAAGAGUGUCUCAAGAAGAGAGGGUGUUAAAGUGCUCAGCAUACCCUUUCUCUGACACUAUCUUAAGUGAGACUUACGGCGAGUGGACAGGAUCAGAGUGCAGAAAAUAUCACAGAAAGAAGAAAAGAUAAGAUUGAUCAAGGAGAAAAAUAGGAUGCUCCUUCAGAGUCAUUCAUCAUCACCUUGUUUUUGUUAAUUUAAACUCCCGAUUUCUCUGAAGGAUGUGCCACAGUGAUUGCUGAUUCAUAUAAGUAUUUGAAACAUGCUUCUUUAUAAAAGCAAGUAAUUAAGUGAUCUUAUCUGUCUCUUGUAAACCCUUUUUAAAUGUCUACAUAAAUACAGCACCGCUAAAAUAACCACAGUAAAGGAUACACACUUGGUGCUAACUGUGCAAGCAGUAAGAUCUUCCACUGAGAAUGGAGUAUCAUUUUUCUCAGCCGCAUGAUUGUCAUCCUGGAGGACUAGCAGAGGUGGCAAAAGUACACACAUUUGUCACUUAAGCAGAAGUACAGAAACAUGUGUUAAAAAAAAAUGGUAAAAGCUCUGGUGAAAGUACUGAUUUUAGCUUUGCUACUGAAGUAAAAGUAAAAAAGUACAAGCUCUGAAACGUAUGUAUUAAUUAUUAAAGUAAAUAAAGUAGAUCUUUACAUGACAUUUCUGCUAACAAUUUGAAACUACUAUUAACUUUUUUAUUCUUUUUGCAAAGCUAACUAAACCUCGUGUCAUAUUAUAAUAAAAUAAUACAUGAAUACAAGAGAAUUCCAACUUUUUUCAACCUUAAUGUCAAUUCUAAAGAAUUCACCCAGCUUGAAAAGAAUAGAUAAAAGAAUAGAAAAGAUCUAUAAGAUCUACAUAAAUCUAUAAUAAUAGAAAAGAAAAGUAAAGCCACCAAAGCUAAGGUAACUUUGCUUCCAUAGCUAAACAGAAAGACGAGUAUAACCAGUGGGAUUCGGCAGGCAUAGUAACACCAAGGUUGGUUGUAACGGUGCAGUGUGAGGAAAAUAAUCACUUAGAAAUUAGAGACAAUAAUUUUUGUUGUGAGCAAAUUGUGAUUUAGUUUUAUUUGUAGUCUUUUGACUAAAAUAUCUUUUAGUUUUGGUCAUUACUUAGGCUUACUUUCAUUGAUAUUAAAUGCAAAAUUUCUACAAUUGGCUUUCUUCCGAGCACUGAUAUUUUGCCACGUUUUCAUUAGUAAGAAGUAGCAUGGGAGGGGGGAGCUCUUAAUCUUUUUCUCGGCAGCAGAUCAAAAUGUGUGCAUUUAACCUUACUGCACAUGGAGAAUACUUUUGGAUCACUUUCAAACUCGAUUGAAAGAAUUCUAGAACAAAUGAGGACAUUACCUGUAAGCUUUCAAUUUCCAGUUCAACAAAUAUCACUGUGCAGUUCUUACAUUUAAAUCUAAUCUCUCUUCUUCCUCUCCUGCCCUGCCUUUCUUACAUCUUUCUCCAUCUCUGACUGAAGUUAUCUCACACAUUCUUUCUCUCCAAGGGAAAAACAGCAACUGCGCCUUUAGCUAGCAGACACUGUGUGACAAACUGCACAGAGACAGUUAGCUGAUAAUUUUUAAGCUGUUAGAAACAUUGAAUUUGAAAUUACCUGUCAAAUUACUACCUAUGUGCUUGCUCCUUACAACUUAUUAUUCCAUCCAUUUAGGUUCAAAUCAGUUUGAUGUUUGAAGGCAUGCAAUGACGGGAAGUAAUACCCUCCCCUUGUCUUAAACCUAAAGUAACGAACCCGGUUUGAAAAUGUAAGAACAAGUGAGAAGUGAUUAGAAAGUGUAGACUUUUCUGUUAAAAUAAAGGGAUUAAAAAGUUGUGGGAAAAGUAACGUAUUUUACAUACUUCACCUCCCAACUCUAGCCCUAGUGGUGUGCUAUAACUACACUAUGCACUUCGAUACGUUUGACCUAAAUAAUUACUCGAGCCCAUGUCAUUUGAGAAGCUCCAUCAUGACCAAAAUAACCAUAUGAGCUUAAGUACUACCUUUCCCUCGAUCAGUUUUGAGCAGACCUCAGUUUCUAGAGGCUUUUCACCCCAUGCGCAUUUCUUACAAUAAGAGAGCAGAAUAUUUUUAUUAAAAAAGAACCUUGUCUUAUUCAGCUGAUACUUCCAGCCAUUCUGAGUCAUCUGUAAAAAUGUUCCAUGUCAAAUGAAAAACCACUGUAAUAAAUAAAUAAAACAAUAUUCUACUGUGUGGUUGCCCACCUAAUCUGAAGUGAAACCACUGUUCUAGUUUUUGGGAACAAAGACAGUUCAAGAGCAUCUCUGGUGCUUUGACGAGGCUGUUUACUUUAAGACGUGAUUUGAACAGCAGCUAAAAUUGUUUGUCUGCUCAGUUCUGUUCAGUGUUUAUCUAUCAAGACUCCCAUUCCCACCCAGAUUAGCUUUAAAUCUAUGUCCCACUUUAGAGAGGAGUUAGCUCUACUUGACAAUUUUUGCUAUCUCUCUAAAAUGACAAAUGCCAUCAAAGAAUCUGGAGGCUGAAGUAAUACUGUUUGCCUUGCAGUUUGCCAGGUAAUUAAAAUGGGAGGGCAGCUUCCUCCCUAAUGUCAAAGGGAUUUCUUUAUCAGCUUUGCAAGGCGCUAUGAAAUGAGUCUCUCUGAGCCAUAGUCUUAACCGUUCAUAUCACCUUCCUCACUCUGGCUUGAGUUGCAGUUUUAGACGAGGUUGCUAUCCUGGGCCCGUGACUCGAUCAUUAGAAGGUCAGAGACACACAAAAAGAGACAGAUUGUGCAGCCACCUCUCAACAGGACUCAUCUCAUCUCGUUUACAGCACAGUGUGUUGCUUUCACGGUGCUAUGCUCAGGAAUGUGACAUGGCUAACACUGACAACUUGAAAUGUACAUAAAACACAGCAAGAGUCAGCGAUCCAUCCUGUCCACUAGAAAAAAAAAAAGAGUUGUUUUGAGAUGCAAAUUUUUCACUAAGUGCAGUCGCACUUCACAUUUCUGACAGUGUUGUCACAUGGCUGAGUACUGCUCUUAAAGGCUUCAUCCUAAUGAUGCUGCUGUUAAUGAGGCGGUGUUUGAUGACACACUAUUUAACGUUAACUGAAUAUGAGCACACUACAUACUAGUCAUACAAUAUGUAGAGAGCUGGUAUGCAAUGCAGGUGAUGGAAAUGAGUUCAAAGAACUUUAUUUUGUUCAUGCAAAAGUUUAAGGAAUGGUCUGCGUCAGUUAAAUGUGGCACAGAAAUUGUGUGUAGGAUUUAAAGAAAAACUCCAUCAACUGCAUUUGCCGUCAUUAAAGUUCAGGUAAAGUAUACUGAAUUUAAAAUAAAUAAAUAAAUAAAAUUAAAUCACAUAAAAAUAAAGUCUACCUAUUGUGAUAUUUCCAUGGUUGAAAAUAGCAUACACAAAACAGUAAAGGAGAAUGGUAAGGGAUUAGUAAAGGAAACUAAUGUAAAACUGCCAUUAUGAAGGUACAUCAGUAGUCCAUGCUCAUGGUACAGUAUAAUUUGGCCUUCAAUUUUUGUGCAUUGUUAGGUGGGUGGUACAAAAUCUACAAAUGGAUCACCAUUGUUCAAUUUUGGUGGUUGGUAGGCAACACAAUAAGAUCAUAAUAGCAGAUAUAGGGUAGAUAAGAACAUUCAGGGGCCUAAAAUAUGAUACCUACCUACAUACCAGUUUGGUUGCUCAAUGAGUGCUUACGAAGGAAGAGUCUGCAAACAAACUAAUAAACAGAUUUCAUGUAUCUUGGAAAGAUAAGAGAGAGAAAUGUCUUGUUAGGAUUCCGUUUGAGUGAGUGAAUUUAAGAAGUGAAUACGAACAUUCUGUCAUUAAUCAUCACGCUCUGUCAUCUGUAUAAGAUACACAUUACAUAUGCUUUAUAGACUAAAUACCACAUACAUCAAGUCAGGCAAAUAUGUGGUUCAGACUCUGUCAAAGAAAACAUGCAGAAAGUUUCAAGCCUCUUAUUGCAUGUCUCCAUAUUGGUCUCCCAAAUCAAACGCACGCAUUCACACACAUGCUGCUUGCUACCAAGAAUAUCUUCACACUUAGUAAUGACUUGUAACAUCUCGAAUAAUGGCUUUCCCACCCAGGCAAAUUCUAACUGGUGGUUCUGGUUGUUGUAAUUUACACCACAGGUUUCUGGAUCUGAGCAGUGCUAAAAGUGAGUCUCUGCAAGAAGCACACACAUAACACAGUACUGUGUUACCUAGUGACUGGGCCCGUGACCAAAGUAAAGCAUCAUCAAAAAAAGUGCUACAUCACCAAAAAAAGCAGUCCUCUCUUUAUCUACAGCUCUGGGGAAUAAUUAAACCUGCUGCAUAUGUUGUGACAGAGUAUUUAAUUAUAUCAGUUGUACACUGUGAGGCACUGCUCCUUUGGGCUAGAUUGAUGUUUAAAUAAAAUUAGCCCUUAUUGUCCAGUGUUAAGCAGACACUUUGUGUUAUUUAUGUGUGUGUAUCCUGGGUACAGUAACACAGAUUUAAUUGGCAUUUGGGAAGUGCUGUCUUUUGUUUCCCAUCAAUUUUUCAUACUUGGGCUGCUGUCUGCUUUCGUAGCUAUGUGAAGUAGCUGACUUUUGAGAUACAAACUGUCCAAAAUGAAUAACACUGGCUUUAAAAAAAAAGACGUUUUAGCGAUAGAGGCGGAACAGUAAGCAAAGAGCACCAUCUUUUUUUCCUAUCCAGAUUUCUAUUCCCCAAACCCAGCUUUUCUUUCCAUGAUCCUCUCUCUAAUAGUGUUUCUCUCUUGCUUUUACUUCAUAUGACAAACCUCCUCUCUGCCUCUUAGUCUCUCCACGCUUAUAAAGCUUUUAAACAUUGAUAGUGCCUGCAGAGGGCAUGGAUGCCCACGUGGGAGGACAGUUGGUGACCUCAGGUGAUUUUGAGCACCUGGCUCUCAGAGGAGAUGUGUGAGGAGCGGAUCCACAGUUUCUACUUUGCUUUUAGACAGACGUGCGCUGCAGACCCACUUUCUCCGACUGCUGAUGAAUUCUUUUUCUUCUCACCAGUCACAGAUGUGCCUUUGAUCACUGUGUCUAUUUUUACAGUCUUUCCUUGUCACUAAGAAAUAAAACUAAUACAACACAUAAAGAGACCACUAUUUUGCAGAAUGGAAAUGUGGAGGAAAAGAGUAUAUUACUCAGUGGAUCUCAGGAUUAUCUUAGAUGUUUGACAUCAACCUUGUAAAAAAAAAAAAAAAAGUGAUAUUAUUUUCAUCUCUGUUUCCUGUGCGUGACUGACUUCACUGCUCGUUUGAAACAUAACAGACAGCACAUCACGGUGUAAUGAAAAGGACAGGCAAACACAGCACACAGCUUAUUUAGGAUUCCCAGAGAAUUUAGAAAUCAUGGGGUUGUUCCUUGGCACUCUGUAUUCUGCUGAUUGCUGUUUUUAUGAAUCUGGCAUGAAACCAUAUGCCUCUGUGUUCUGCAGUGUUUGGUAAAGAAUGUAGUGACUGUUUGUUUUCCAAAACCUAAUGCGGCUUCAUAUUUCCAAGGAUGCAUUUAGUCAUACCUCAUUUGGUUUGAGGACACUUAACACCCUCAAUUAGUUUGUCUUUUCCAUCAUUCAUUUUGAUAAUGAUUAUUGUCUGCUACAUUCUCAAAUAAAAUAAUUAUGUCCUACACAGCACAGCCAAUGCUCACAAGUGAUCUCCCCUGGAGGAUGUUUUCCAACAGUUUGUUGUAGCCGUGCAUUACAACUGAUUUUCUUCCAACACAUGUGCUGACAAACAGUGAUUUAGAUGUCAAAAUCGGCUCUGUUCACUACACACGCUAAAGCAGCAUAGGCGUAUCAGAGCGGUCAAGCAUGGCAUUAGUUUUCCAAAUUCCCUGAAUUUGUCGGGUUUUAAAGGAUUAACAGGGAGUACACAGCUCAGUGCUGCUCUAAACUUUCCAGAUUUUGCAUUUGUAAUGAUUGAUAUGUUGAGCCAAUUUUAAAUCUGUGGCUGCUUUUAAAUGUCUGGCAAUCUAUAUUAUUCAAGUUAUAUAUAAAUAACAAACUCCUGUUCCAAAACAGUUUAGGAAAAAAAUGUCAAAUUUUGGAAAGUUUCCACUUCUACCUGUCUGGACAAAAAUAAUAAGCCAUCACUCUGUGACUGAGCUGCAUGGCACAAUCAAUCUUUUAAGAGAGACACAACAGAGACUCCAUAAGAAAAAAAAAUAUUUCCCCUUCUGGUUCUGGAAUCAGAUCGUGGCUGAGGAAAAGGUAAAUCAUUUGUAUACACUACGUAAUAUAUAACGUUAUCCUUCACAGCCACACUCAUAAAGGUUUAUAAUUCAACAGCAAUCCAAGCCUUCCCUAAGCUCUUGCUCAUUAAUAGUUGCUGAAAAAUUCAUGGUGUUAGCAUUUAAGCAUCAGUUUGCAAUUAAGUUGGGAGAGGUGCUGCAAAUUUGCCUCAGGCUAUGAAUGCCACAGCAUGAUAAAGGGCUUCAUUCAAGUCGGUGGUUAUUAUGUGUUUAUGUCCAUAUAAAAAUAAACAAUUCAUCAUAUUGAUCGGGCCUUCUCAUUAACAGAAAUAACAGGCCACUUUGUUUGAGACUUGUUGUAUUAUUAGAUUUAAAUCAUUAAAAGGUCUUUUGGCUUUAGAUGACUUUAAAUCACAAGCUGAUUGUUUCAUACUGUGUUUUACAGUUUGAAAAUAUGAUAACGUCAUUGUCUGCGGUUUCUUAGAUCCAGUAGCUGUUUACUGUACUUCCAUGUUUGUUACAUCUCCGUAAAAAGAGCUUGUUUUUCCUAAUUAGUUGUCAGUAUCAUUUAAUUUAAUAUGAUUUUAUUAGAAAUAGUUUUUUUUUAUUGUAACACAAUAAGUAGGGUUUUCUUAUUAUGAGAAUAAAUCAUCCAAAUCAUUGAAUCCAGGUGUUCCAGUUACUUCCAUGCUGAUUCAAAUCAAGCACCUAGACAUACAGAUACACACAGCUUUUGUUAAAGAAGGGGUUGCACUCAGGACCUCAGUGAAUUCUAGCGUGGUAUGAUAGGAUGCCACCUGUGCAGCAGCAAUUUUUCAGGAGUUGGACUUGGCCCCUUAGUUUUAGUGAAAGAAAUUCUUAAUGCUUCAGCAUAGCAAUUUCAUGCUCCCAACUUUGUGAUAAACAGUUUGGAGAUUGCCCCUUUUGUUCCAACAUGACUGUGCACCAGUGCACAAAGCAAGGUCCAUAAAGACAUGGAUGAGCAAGUUUGGUGAUGAAGAACUUGACUGGCCUGCACAAAGUCCUGAACUCAACCCAACAGAACACUUUUGGGAUGAAUUGGAGCAGAGACUAUGAGCCAGGACUUUUUGUCCAACAUCAGCAUGGCCUCUCAACUACGCUUCCGAAAAGCCUUCCCAGACGUGUUGAAGGUGAUAUAGCUGCAAAAGGUGGGCCAACAUCCUAAUAAACUUCAAGGGAUUAAGAAUAGGAUAUUGCUCAAGUUCAUAUGCGUGUGAAAGAAUACACACAAAUUCUCGGCAAUAUACUAUAAAUAUAGAUACAAAGAAACAUUUUGCUUUUUUUAAUCUUAGAUCUUUUUGGUUUGUUUUAUUUUUUUCAGCAAUAAAUAGAUGGCCAUAUUGUGAGACUUUUUGUAACCAUGGUAACCACACAGUGCAGGUGCAAACUUAUUGUUCAUCUAGGUCUUGGUGCAUGUGACGCUAGAACAGGUUUAUAUAUAGAAGGUAUGUAAAUAUAUUGUUCUUUUGUAAAACAUGAGCCAUUCUUCUCUUUUUUCUAAACAUGGCUGCACUUGUCACUAGACAUGACAGUAUUUACACACAUUGCUGUCAUCAGCCACCUUUUCAUUUUUCUUUGCAUCUCUGCUACACACUUCACACUGCUACACACUUUGCACACGAUCUCAAGGUAAAACUGAACAAUGGUGACAAUGUCUCUGAAGAUAAACAAUGGUGAUCAGCAAGAAGUACGUCAUUGCUUUGAUUCAGUCCAAUUCAAUUCAGUUUUAUUUAUAUAGUGCCAAAUCACAACGCCUCAAGGUGCAUUAUUAUGUAAGAUAAAGACCCUACAAUAAUACAGAGAAAAUUCCAACAAUCCUCUAUGAGCAAGCAUUUGGCAACGGUGGAAAGGAAAAACUACCUUCUAACAGGAAGAAACCUCUGGCCUAGUCUCAGGAAAAGGGCACCAUCUGCUGCCACUGGUUGGGGGGAUGUCAAAUUAUUGAAUGAAAAGAGGAAGAUUCAUAGGGAAAAAUUGUAUAUCUAAUUGAUAUGUAGAAAAAAAAUAUAUCAACAUGAAAACUAGGAAUGAACUUUGAUUCUAAAGCUUUGUCCAUUAUAUUUACAUUAGCCUGAGAUCGCUGUCAUGUCUAUUAAUCAGAUUUUUUGUGCCUUUUACCAUAAUAAUGCACAAAUGUUUUGCUGCAUGCUACCUAUGCAAUAGAAUUCUGCCCUUUCUGAAACAUUCAACUUUUCUAAAUUAUUUUUUCAAUCAAUACAAGUCUUGCAGAAGUGCAAGUCUUUUGCAAGUUUUUUCAAAGGCACUUCAUUAAUUUCAGAUAUUCAGUGUAGUGUAAAAAUAUCCAUAUUAGGCACAAUUGGCAAAAUUCCACCAGUAACUACCUACAAAUAAUUUAUCACAGAGCCUAAAAAGUAACAGUCUGCUCUGUAUUACUUUACAUUUUUAAUGUUUCAUGAUAACUUAACAAAAAUAAUCAUGAUAACAAAAACCUUGAUUAGUGCACCUAACAGCUAACUGUGAUUCAGGUCCUUCUGAUCACAAAUAUUUUCACCCAUUUUGAUUCAUUCUGCUUAAGACACAAAACAUCUCCACAUGCUUCUUAUAAGCUCUCAGCAUUUUGUUUUCUACCCCCUGCCUGCUGAUGCAUCUCACUUUUCAAGUCACUCACAAACUAUCUAAAGAUGGGUGGAGAGAAAAAUGGAGGGGGCCUUUAAAAGAAAACCCUGUUUCUCUGAAAGCCGUUUUUAUUUCCAGACUUAAUUAAUGUUGGGCAUCAAAAUAAAACACAGAAAAAAGAACUCUUACAAGUUAAACGAAAGAAGAUUUUAGAAAACUAAAAUCUUUUGUGUCCGCACGUGUGCAGCUUUCUCAAGCACUUAAACUAUAUUUCAGUGCUGCAGUAAAAGUAAUACGUGAGGAAUACACUAUUCUUCCCAGUGAUCAUAUACUCUCAAAGGGCUGCAUUGUUUUGCUUGAAUAGCCAUCGUCUUUGUGUUUCAAUUGCUAUGUGAACAACCCAUUUGGUCAAAUACACUAUUUUAGUAGAGAAGACAAACAUACAUAUUUAAUGAUAUUGUUUGUCUCUGAAUCUGUUGUUCUCUCUUGAGUGCCAUUCUGGCUAGUGUAGUGCUUGUAUAGUGUCAGAUCUUCCAAAUUCAACUGUAUUUUUUAUGCAACAUCCAGUGAAAAUUUAAGCUCAACUGCAGCAAAGUGAUUAACCUGUUGAUUACUGCCUCGCAAAGCUGUAAUAAAUUGUCAAUAAUUUAUGUGGUGUGGUGAAUGCUGCUACUAUAGAUUCAUGUUGCAUUCUUUGUUUAACUGUUGCUACGACAGUACAUAAACUCAGGUGUUGCACAGGCAACAUCAGGUUUUAUAAUAAACCAGCCACAGGAGCCUCAGCAUCCCCAGAGUGUGUUUUUUGCAAAGGCAAUCCUGAAUACAAUAAAAACACAGUCAUGUAUAUUAAAAGAAAAUAAUAUUCUUACAUAAAGUAUAACAGUUGGCAUCAACAGGGUGGAUAUGAUGUUUCAAACAGACAGAAGAAGCUAAGAAAAUGUAAUAAUCCUUCCAGCGUAACACUAUAAUUUAUAAAAAACUAUAAACUAAAACCUAGUCCUGACAUCUAAGAUAUCCAUCACUCUGUUUAGAUUCAGUCACGGUUCCUUAGUUUAUUCUAACCAAAUGUUUGCCGAUAUCUUAGAAAACUAGUUUACCCCCUGUUUCAACCAUCCAGUAAGAUUUACAUCAGCUAAAUGUUGUCAGUCUAGUUGUUGCUUUGUCUUUUUGCCACAAGCGAUUCCUUCAAGUGUAAUCAAGCAAUGCUUUUAAAAUGUAGUCUCUCCUGAUUAAAUUACCACUACCAUCUGCCACUUAUAUAAUAAUGUCACACAAGUUUAAAUAUGUGAUCAUUUUUGUGGCAUUCAUUAUCUGAGAACUGUCAGGAACAGGAACACAUGGAACAUGUUACACUGGCUUUACUGCACUGUACAAAUUGUACAAUUUUCAGUCACUAUUGAGGUUUCUGUAUUAGCAAUGCUACCUUUACAUCCUAAACCAGAGCAAAGGUUAAUCCAGAGCUGACAAAAGAACAAGGUGAAACUGAACGCUGCCUGGCUCACAUUUUGGUCUCUUAUAACAAGGUUGAUACCAAAUCAUAUUUCUACUUAAGUCAAUAAAACAGCCGCUUUUUCAAAAAAAAAAAAAAAA